UGUCGGUCGCGGAGAUGCGGGCGGUACGCCGCCCGUGACUCCACGAGAAGUCCCAUGAACCUUAUCAUUUAGAGGAAGGAGAAGUCGUAACAAGGUUUCCGUAGGUGAACCUGCGGAAGGAUCAUUGUCGAGACCGCUAGAAUAGAUGGAACGAUUCGGAGAACACGUGAAGCAUGCGUCGGCGAACGUCGGCGCGAGGGAACCAUCGCCGUCAUCGCCACGCCUCGGCGGGGCGCGAUGGGUGGCGGUGCGAAACAUGAGCCGGCGCAGAAUUGCGCCAAGGGAAUAUGCGAGCACGAACCGCCCGGCGGUUUCGUGGAGUGGCGCGACAUUUCGCGCCCGAUGGAUCGACAUGACUCUCGGCAAUGGAUAUCUCGGCUCUCGCAUCGAUGAAGAGCGCAGCGAAAUGCGAUAUGUGGUGCGAAUUGCAGAAUCCCGUGAACCAUCGAGUCUUUGAACGCAAGUUGCGCCCGAGGCCCACCGGCCGAGGGCACGCCCGCCUGGGCGCCAAGCAUCGCGACACUCCAUGCAAAGGCCCUCCAAUCUUCAGAUGGGUUGGCCCCGGCACGGACGUGGAGAGUGGCCCGCCGUGCCCAUUGGCGCGGCGGGCUGAAGGGAGGGCCAUCGUCUUGUGGCGACGGACGUCGAGGGGUGGAUGCUAUCCGCGAGCACGACGUGCGCCGCCGCGAGCCAUGCCCUUGGAGCUCAUGCGCUCCACCGAUCCCUGCCCGUGCACCGCGUCGCGUUCGGUGCUCGGACCGCGACCCCAGGAUGGGCGGGGCCACCCGCCGAGUUUAAGCAUAUCAAUAAGCGGAGGAGAAGAAACUUACGAGGAUUCCCCUAGUAACG
rnacentral:rRNA from 1 species